GAAGUUAUAUGAUUAUGAAGUUCCCCUGUUCGAUUGUGUUCACAUACUGGGAAAUUCAAAAAUUUCAAGUGAUUUGGUGUAUUAGAGCGUAAUGCUUGUGUAGUAUCUUUUCUGCACAUGAUCGUUGCUUGAAUUGAAAAGGGCUAGGGCUUAACUUCCUUUUUUUCGGUGUUUUUUCAGGGGAAAAUUCAAAGUACUUCAGCAUACGGCUUCAUCAUGGUGGAAUUUUAUUGCAGAAGAUGAGAAAUUUUGUGUAUGAGCAUAGGAAAAUAAGUUAUAUAGACUAUAUCGACCAUGAUUUCUUCAAUAGAUUUCUUUUGGACAAUGCCGUGAAGAUGUUAGGAUAUUCUGAUAGAAUUAGAUAUCUGUACAAGAUGGAAAAGAAAAGAAUGAGUGAAGGUUCAUUUUGGUUGGUUAAAGAUUCAGAUUUCAUGAAUUUAGUGAAGUGGCUUGGUGAUAAUAGGACAUCUGAACUGUAUUGCUUGCCUGUAGUUGAGAUUUUGGAGUUGCCUUGGUAUGAAAUAGAACAGAAGGAUGUUCGAGUGUUUGAUUGUGAGACUGGUGAGGAGUUGGUGAAGGUUCAAAAGUCUGGUGAAGCAUUGAAUGAGCAGCAACCAUGUUAUGCAAUUGAGAUUUUUGAUGAAUCAGUAGAAGGUGAUGACGUGUAUGUAGUUGAUGAAGUGGAUGACAUGGAAGCAGAUGAAGAGGAUGUUUAUACAGUGCAUGGAACAGAGCAUGAGUAUACAGAGGUUGAUUUUAUAGGGGCUGAAGUAGACUCACAUGAAUCAGAAGUGCAUGCUGCUGAACCAGAGAAACCACAUGAUGUUGAACCACAAUUGAGGUUUGAACAUGAGCUGCAUGACGCUGAACCACAGCAGGAGCUGCAUGCUGCUGAACAAGAGGUGCAGGCUGCUGAACAUGAUGUCGAAGCAGAGUUGCAGCCUGCUGAAAUUGAUGUGCAUGCUUCUGGACCACAGCAGCAGGCUCAGCAGGAGCUGCAUGCUGCUGAACAAGAGGCGCAAGCUGCUGAACAUGAGUUGCAUGAUGUCGAACCAGAGGUGCAGGCUGCUGAAACUGAUAUGGAGUUUGGUGAAGGUCCUGAGCUGGAUGAUGAAUAUGAGGAGGGUAUUUUGGGAGAGGAAUUCACUGAUUCGGAGUACGAGCAGGAAGAAAAUGUUGCUGUGGAGGAUAAUGAUGAAAACACAUAUUUCAGGUUGAGUGAAGGUUUUGACAUUGGUGCAAGUGGUGAGCAGGAAGGUGUAAGAGAUGUGCAGGAAGGGGAGGCAGCUGCUGGGGAAGAAUUUGGAACAGAAUACGAAGACUCCAGUGAGUAUAGAAGCUUACCCGGUGAUACCGAGGCUGAGGGAUUAUCUGCCAGAAGGAAGAAUGUGUGCUGGUUUAACCCUGCAACUGAUAUGGAAGAUCUACAGUUCAAGCUAGGUAAUGUCCACUGUUCUGUGUAAUUCAGUUCUGGUUUAAUUCAUUUGGAUGAUAAUGAAUUCUGGUUUAAUUCAUUUCUGCCAGGGAUGAAAUUCGACAACGUCAAGAUUCUAAGGAAUGCAGUAGUUCAAUACUCAGUCAAAAAUUCCAGGCAACUGAGAUACGUGAAAAAUAUGAGUACACAGUUGAGAGUUCGGUGUCAAGAUAAUUGUCCUUGGGUUUUGUAUGCGUACCAACAACCUGACAAGAGUCUUAGAAUUAACACAUUUGUAGAUGAGCACACAUGUACCAUGGUGUGGCAAAAUAGAAGGGUUAAUUCAGGUUUUCUGGCAAAGAAGUACGUGAGAAAAUUUAGGUUUGAUCCAAACAUUCCAAUGAGUAGUUUUAUGGAGACUGUGAAAGAGGACUACAUGUAUGAGAUUUCAAAGCAUCAGUUCUACAGGACAAGAUCGAAAUGUGCAGAAGUUAUUAAUGGGAUUGUAGCUGAGUAGUACAAAAUUUUAUGGGAUUACGGUGAGGAAUUGAAGAGAACAAAUCCAGGCAGUACAGUCCACAUCGAAGGUUCGGGACAUACUUUUAAGAGAUUGUACAUCUGCAUAGGGGCUUGUAAGGAAGGGUUUAAGGCUGGGUGCAGGCCAGUUGUUGGGUUGGAUGGAUGCUUCCUAAAAUCUGCAGAUGGUGGACAGUUGUUGGCAUUGAUAGUGAGAAUUGUAUGUUCCCGUUAGCAUGGGCAGUUGUGGAUGCAGAGAACAAAACAAACUGGCAAUGGUUUAUAGAAUUGUUGGUUGGUGACAUAGGGAUGCACAACCCUCGAGCUUGGACAUUCAUUUCCGACAAACAAAAGGGUUUGGUGGAUUCCAUAAGUCAAUACUGUGAAGGAGCGGAGCAUGGGUGUUGUGCUAGACAUCUUUAUAGCAAUUUCACCUUGGCACACAAAGGUCUGGCACUUAAGAACCUAUUUUGGAUUGCAGCAUGGGCAACAACAGUGCCGGAGUGGAAGAGUGCAAUGAAUGAGUUAAAAGACAUAAGUGAAGAGGCUUACAACUGGUUCCUUGAAAAACCUCAUUCCCAGUGGACCAGAUCCCAUUUUGAAGAGCAUUCAAGAUGUGAUAUUCUUCUUAAUAAUUUGUGUGAGGCAUUCAACUCUUCCAUUGUUGUUGCCAGAGACAGGCCCAUCAUCUUCAUGCUAGAGAAAAUUCGGCAUCAGCAAAUAAUAAGGAUGAAUGUAAAAAGGGAAGCGGCAGAGAGGUGGGAUCAUGCAUUCGGGCCAAGAAUUGUGAAAAUCAUUGAGAAGGCUAAGUCUGAGGCAAGGUACUUGAAGGCAGACUAUGCAGGCAACCAGAAAUUUGAGAUAAGCAGCAGAGACGGUUUGAGGUGGAGCGUUGUCUUGACAGAACAUGCAUGUGCUUGCAGAAAAUGGCAGCUCACUGGAAUAUCAUGUCCCCAUGCAAUAUCAGGCAUGCUUUCAAGGGAUAUUGACAUAUAUGAGUACAUCGACCCAUGGUAUAGCAAGGAGACAUACCUGAAAUGUUACUCCCCAGUGAUCCACCCGAUGUUAGGGCCUGAACUGUGGCCAGAAUUGGGAAAGCAUCCUCUCACUCAACCUCAGAAGAGAAAACAGGCUGGCAGACCCAAAAAAUUGAGGAAGAGGUCACAGGCAGAGCCACCUACAAGCGUGAAGAUGGAAAGAACUGGCAUGAAGAUGACGUGUAAACGCUGUGGAGGGUCUGGACAUAACAAAAGAAGCUAUAAGGAGGCACUGCCUGAUGAAGAUAGUUCACAGCAGCAGUUUCAACCAACCACACAAGAAGAUACACAUACCAGAUCAACAAAGGGGAAGAGAAAAGCACAUUCAACACAAACCUCCAAGUCACAGACAAAGAAGUCCAAGCAUAGACGAUCGCAAUCUUGAACAUCACGUGGUUUCUCUUGUAUAGUUACCUUUUUGGGGAAAUGCUGUGGUUUUUUGUAAACUGAACUGGAAAUAUAUGCUUCCAAUGCUGUUUAUUUUGUAGAUGUAACUGUAAUUUUUGAUGAAAUUAUUCAAUGUGAUGAUAAUGUUGAUGUCGAAUAUCUUGCAUUAUAUUUCUGCUUUUCGCCGUUGGUUUCUGAAAUUGUAUUCGUAAGAUCUGAUGUGCAGGCGACUAUGAAAUAUAUGAGAAUGUUUAAUACUUCCUAUGAACGUAUUAUCAAACGUUUGGUACCUUUACUGCAAUGUUUUUAAAGAUUUGGUACUCUGUCUGAAAUCAUUAGAAAAGGUUUGGUACUGAUUUUGCGAAUCGUUAUAAAGUUUGGUACCUAUGGUGCACCUUCUUCAGAUAAGUUUCAAGUGUAGUCUGC
rnacentral:lncRNA from 1 species